rnacentral:rRNA from 1 species
AAUGCUUAGGAAUCUGCCUAUUAGUGGGGGACAACAUUCCGAAAGGAAUGCUAAUACCGCAUACGCCCUACGGGGGAAAGCAGGGGAUCUUCGGACCUUGCGCUAAUAGAUGAGCCUAAGUCAGAUUAGCUAGUUGGUGGGGUAAAGGCCUACCAAGGCGACGAUCUGUAGCGGGUCUGAGAGGAUGAUCCGCCACACUGGGACUGAGACACGGCCCAGACUCCUACGGGAGGCAGCAGUGGGGAAUAUUGGACAAUGGGCGAAAGCCUGAUCCAGCCAUGCCGCGUGUGUGAAGAAGGCCUUUUGGUUGUAAAGCACUUUAAGCGAGGAGGAGGCUACCGAGAUUAAUACUCUUGGAUAGUGGACGUUACUCGCAGAAUAAGCACCGGCUAACUCUGUGCCAGCAGCCGCGGUAAUACAGAGGGUGCGAGCGUUAAUCGGAUUUACUGGGCGUAAGGCGUGCGUAGGCGGCUUUUUAAGUCGGAUGUGAAAUCCCUGAGCUUAACUUAGGAAUUGCAUUCGAUACUGGGAAGCUAGAGUAUGGGAGAGGAUGGUAGAAUUCCAGGUGUAGCGGUGAAAUGCGUAGAGAUCUGGAGG